GACGAGGGAUCCUAGCGUUGUUCGGAAUCAUUGGGCGUAAAGAGUAUGUAGGCGGCCUUGUAAGUCAGUUGUGAAAGCCCCGGGCUCAACCCGGGAAGUGCAAUUGAUACUGCUUGGCUUGAAUGUGGAAGAGGGCAGUAGAAUUCCUGGUGUAGUGGUGAAAUACGUAGAUAUCAGGAGGAAUACCGGUGGCGAAGGCGGCUGCCUGGUCCUACAUUGACGCUGAGAUACGAAAGCGUGGGGAGCGAACAGG
rnacentral:rRNA from 1 species